rnacentral:rRNA from 1 species
GACGGAGGAUGCAAGCGUUAUCCGGAAUGAUUGGGCGUAAAGCGUCCGCAGGUGGCAGUUCAAGUCUGCUGUCAAAGACCGGGGCUUAACUUCGGAAAGGCAGUGGAAACUGAACAGCUAGAGUAUGGUAGGGGCAGAGGGAAUUCCUGGUGUAGCGGUGAAAUGCGUAGAGAUCGGGAGGAACACCUGAGGCGAAGGCGGCGACCUGGACAGUUACUGACACUCAACUGCGAAAGCGUGGGGAGCAAACAGG